rnacentral:rRNA from 1 species
UACGUAGGGUCCGAGCGUUGUCCGGAAUUAUUGGGCGUAAAGAGCUCGUAGGCGGUGUGUCGCGUCGGAUGUGAAAGCCCGGAGCUUAACUCCGGGUCUGCAUUCGGUACGGGCAUGCUGGAGUUCGGUAGGGGAGACCGGAAUUCCUGGUGUAGCGGUGAAAUGACGCAGAUAUCAGGAGGAACACCGAUGGCGAAGGCAGAUCUCUGGGCCGUUACUGACGCUGAGGAGCGAAAGCGUGGGGAGCGAACAGG